UUUUUGAAGACAAUUCACCAUUCAUAAUUAUAUAUAUAUAUUCAUGAUAUUAUCUGCAGUGUGAUAUGAUUUGUCUCAAGAUCUUGCAUACAUGUAAUUAUACCCCGACCGGCAAGGGAACGGGUGCAUUUAUUAGAACAGAACCAACCAGGGGCAAUUUCGGCUAUCUCUGUUGAACUCUGUGAUCACUUUGGAUAACUUUAAUGAUCGCAGUCGGCCUUGUGUAGGCGACGGAUCUUUCAAAUAUCUGCCCUCUCAAUUUGUUUGUUAGUUGAUCUGCCUACUAUGAAAAUAACGGGUAAUGACGGGGAAUCAGGAUUCGAUUCCGGAGAGGGAACCUGAGAAAUGGAUACUACCUCCAAGGACUGCAGCAGGCGCGAAAAUUACCCACUCCCGGCAAGGGGAGGUGGUGAAGAAGCAUAUNNNNNNNNNNUACGGGACUCAAUUGAGGCUCCGUAAUUCGAAUGAGUACAAUUUAAAUCCUUUAACGAGGACCACAGGUUGACAUGAAUUA
rnacentral:ncRNA from 1 species